AUCAUUAUUGAAUAAACUUGGCGUGGUUUGUAGCUGGCCUUCAAGUGUAUGUGCUCGACCCGUCAUCUUUAUCUUUCCACCUGUGCACAUAUUGUAGACCUAGAAUGAAUAACUUUUUACUGAGUGUAGAACUCGGUCGUGAGGAAUGUUGAGUGAUCAACUUUUCUUGUAUUAUCUAGGUCUAUGUUUUUAAUUCAUAUACCCCAAAGAAUGUAAUAGAAUGUAUUGUAUUAUAUGGCUUUGUGCCUAUAAAACUAUAUACAACUUUCAGCAACGGAUCUCUUGGCUCUCGCAUCGAUGAAGAACGCAGCGAAAUGCGAUAAGUAAUGUGAAUUGCAGAAUUCAGUGAAUCAUCGAAUCUUUGAACGCACCUUGCGCUCCCUGGUAUUCCGAGGAGCAUGCCUGUUUGAGUGUCAUUAAAUUAUCAACCUUUAUUAGUUUUUGCUGAUAAAUGGCUUGGAUGUGGGGGUUUAUUUCUGCUGGGACUUAUCUAUAGUUCAGCUCCCCUGAAAUGCAUUAGCUAGUGCCUUGUGUGGAUCUAUCUUAUUGGUGUGAUAAUUAUUUACAUCAUGGAUUGUCUACUUUGUACUGCUUAUAAUUGUCUGUCAAGUCAGACAAAUUAUAUGGCCAAUUUGACCUCAAAUCAGGUAGGACUCCCCGCUGACCUAAGCAUAUCAUUAAGCGGAAGAAAAGAACCUAACAGGAUCCCCUAGUACCUGCGAGUGAGCGGGAAAGCUCAAAUUAAAUCUGAUAGUCUUUGCUGUCCGAGUGUAUCUAGAGAGUGUAUCCGCGCUG
rnacentral:rRNA from 1 species